rnacentral:rRNA from 1 species
AUGCCCCCGCGCCUCGUGCUCCUGCUCCUCCUCCUGGCCGCCACCUUCCCACCGCCGGCCGCGGCCCGGGUCGGCGACCACGAGCCCCCUCCCCCUCCCCCGCACCCGCGCGCCCGCCAGCACCGGGCCCAGAGCGGCGGCGGUACCGGGGGCGCGAGCCGCGUGCUCACCACCGCGCUCGUCGCCGCCGCGUCGCUCCUCGCCGUGCUCCUGCUCUACCUCUGCGUCGCCAUCGCCGUGCGCCGCAUCCGCGGCAAGGGGGAGGGCGGCGGCGGGCGCGCGUCGCGGCAGCAGGCGUCGCAGUCCUCCCGCGCGGCGGCGUUCCUCCGCCGCCACGGCCUGCACCACAGCCGCCCGGCCUUCACCUACGAGCAGCUCCGCGCCGCCACGGCCGGGUUCGACGCCGCGCGCAAGCUCGGGGACGGCGGCUUCGGGACGGUGUACCUCGCGUACCUCCCGCCCGCGGGCCGCCCCGCCGCCGUCAAGCGGCUCCACGUGCCGCCCUCCCCGUCCCCGUCCUCCGCCACCAUCACCAAGUCCUUCUGCAACGAGGUGCUCAUCCUCUCCGCGCUCCGCCACCCGCACCUCGUCCGCCUCCACGGCUUCUGCGCCGACCCGCGCGCGCUGCUCCUCGUCUACGACUUCGUCCCCAACGGCACCCUCUCGCACCACCUCCACCGCCGGGGCCGCGGCAUCGCCGCCACGCCGCCCCCGCCGCCGCUCCCCUGGCGGACCCGGCUCGCCAUGGCGGCCCAGAUCGCGUCGGCGCUGGAGUACCUCCACUUCGCGGUGAAGCCGCACGUGGUCCACCGCGACGUCACCUCCUCCAACAUCUUCGUGGAGGCGGACAUGCGCGCCCGGCUCGGCGACUUCGGGCUGUCGCGGCUCCUGGCGACGCCCGACGCCUGCUCCACGGCGACCGGGCGGGAGGUGGUGUGCUGCACGGCGCCGCAGGGCACGCCGGGGUACCUGGACCCGGACUACCACCGGUCGUUCCAGCUGACGGAGAAGAGCGACGUGUACAGCUUCGGCGUGGUGGUGCUGGAGCUGGUGACAGGGCUGCGGCCCGUGGACGUGGGCCGGGAGCGGCGGGACGUGACGCUGGCGGACUGGGUGGUGUCCAAGAUCCAGAUCGGCGAGCUGAGGGAGGUGGUCGACCCGCCGGUGCUGGGCGAGCUCCCCGGCGUGAUGCCCAGCGUGGAGGCGGUGGCGGAGCUGGCGUUCCGGUGCGUGGCGCCGGACAAGGACGACCGGCCCGACGCCCGGGAGGCGCUGGCCGAGCUGAGGAGGAUCCAGGGGAUGCUCCCCGAGCUGUCCGGCCACAAGGACUCCUCUUGA